AGGAAUUUAGGCUAAUCAGACCAGAGGCCUUCAAAGCCCCAAGUAAGUACAAAACACUUAAUUCCUG
rnacentral:tRNA from 1 species